ACUGCCUACUAUUUCAUUUUCCACUGUUACAUGUCAACAUUUUCUUACUAUUUUUAACAGCACCAUUCUUUAACAGCACCAUUUUUAUAAAAUAUACAAUAUUGAAAAUCAGUGGAAUAUAACCCACAAGUAGUGUAAAUACUUUAAUAUUUAGUUUUCUGCUAUAGUAAUGCCACAUAAUCAACAAUUUCAAAAUCUCAGUAAUUUAAAGUAACAAAUGAUUAUGGUUUUUGCUCCCAAGUCUGCAGGUUAUUUGGGUUAGCCUCUCCUUCAUGCUGUGGUUUACCUGAGCUUGACUCCUGGCUGUGGGGGUGAAGUCACAUCUGAUCCACUUUCUUCAAUCAGUGGCCACUCAAGAAACCACCUGGAGGCCAUGUUUCACCCAUUCUGUGAAGACACAGCUGACCUCCUAUCUCAUCUCCAGGGGUAAGAAUGUGAUCUAUGCUGAUUGUUAUCACAUUCCAUUCCCCUGUCACAAUGUUUGGGUUCUGAUAAGGCUUACAAAUGAAGCCAAAUCAAUUAAGACUCAUCCUUGGGUCUUUGGCUUAAACUGUUAGGAAAAAAGUGCUUACUUUUUUCUCUGAGUUUGCAGACCUGGUAGAAUGUAAGCUUGACAGUGUGUUUGAACAGCUUUGCUACUGCAUGAGAAAAGCCUGCCUGAGAAUAUAGCCAAGACAUAAGAAGGCGGAGCCAAGAGAUGGACAGAGAUAAUGUUUGAGCUCCUAAUUCCAGUCUGAAGUCAUCUGUGUAUGUGUACUUCCCAGUUACAAAACUAACACAUUUUCAUUGUGCUUGAGUCAUUUUGAUUGUGUUUGUCACUUGAAAUCUAUGCCAUUCAUACUAACACCAGUUGCGGGCUUUUCUUCUGCAGUCCUUCUCCAAAAUGCCCCAUUUCUGGACUCACUUAUAUCACCUUGCUUGCACACACAUGUCCCCACAUCUUUCAAGGAUCCUCUACUUUCUUAUAAUCUUAAUUUUUCACUAUAUCCUAGAUGCAUAAUUCAUUUGUUAUUUUUCCUGAAAGAGCAGAGUUGCUGAAUUAAGUUGCUAUUUAACCAGCAUUUUUGUUUUCUCAUUUAAGCAUUCAUAUUAACCCCCAGAUCUCAGUGAAAAUGUGUCCCAAGUUUUAUAUAUUUCAUCGUAUGUCUUAAGACUCUGACUAAACCUAUUACUGUGCCAUUCGUUUCCUUCAAAGGAAGGAAGACUUCCCUUCAAAGUAUACUAAAUUCUCUGUCUGGAAGAACAAAUGCCAUAUCUCAUGGAUGAAUGUAUUCUUGUAAACCAUGUGACACCUGUCAUUUUUCUCCUUUGUAUUUAUGGCUUCGUCAGUACCUGUUAAGCUACAAUGUUAAAUUGUCUUUUGACCAAUACAGAUUGCCAACCCCUUCCUUGCUGAUGCUAAGCCUCUUUGUAAAAAGGCCAUGAUGUAUUGAAGCCAUACUUCUAUGCCAAAACCACUAAUAGAGCUUAUGUACUUACUGAUGGAUGGAAGCUCUUGAUAUGCCAAAACCUUGUUUUGAAUUCCUUUCCUCCAACAAUGACAUGUUGCUUGAGUCUCAAAUCAGUGUUGCCUUUUAAUUCAGAUAUAUCACAAUGAUUAUCAAUUUAUAUGCAUAGUUUAAUCUAUGGGAACUUGUGAAAAAAAAUUUGAAAGAUGGAGGCAAUAUUAUGGUACUCAGAAUUACUCUGAUCCCUUAAACCUUCGAUCAGGUUUUGCCUUUCUUUCUAUGACUACUUGCCUCAAGGUUUCUUGAUUUCUUGGAAGGGAGAGGAGACUUGUCCCUUGCAGUCCUUCAUUGGUGGAAUUCUACAUUAUUACAGCUUCUGAUCAUGUUGGGAAUCCCACCACAAAAAAAUAAAACAUUUAAGAUUGGA